AUAUUGCACAAUGGGCGCAAGCCUGAUGCAGCAACGCCGCGUGCGCGACGAAGGCCUUCGGGUCGUAAAGCGCUUUUCGGGGAGAUGAGCACGGACGGUACCUUAGGAGGAAGCCCCGGCUAACUACGUGCCAGCAGCCGCGGUAAUACGUAGGGGGCGAGCGUUAUCCGGAAUUACUGGGCGUAAAGGGUGCGUAGGCGGCCUUUUAAGUCAGAUGUGAAAGGCUACGGCUUAACCGUAGUUAGCAUUUGAAACUAAAAGGCUUGAGUGCAGGAGAGGAGAGUGGAAUUCCUAGUGUAGCGGUGAAAUGCGUAGAUAUUAGGAGGAACACCAGUGGCGAAGGCGACUCUCUGGACUGCAACUGACGCUGAGGCACGAAAGCGUGGGGAGCGAACAGG
rnacentral:rRNA from 1 species